CACUCCUGCGGGAGGCAGCAGUGGGGAAUUUUGGACAAUGGGCGAAAGCCUGAUCCAGCAAUGCCGCGUGAGUGAAGAAGGCCUUCGGGUUGUAAAGCUCUUUUGUCAGGGAAGAAACGGUGAGAGCUAAUAUCUUUUGCUAAUGACGGUACCUGAAGAAUAAGCACCGGCUAACUACGUGCCAGCAGCCGCGGUAAUACGUAGGGUGCAAGCGUUAAUCGGAAUUACUGGGCGUAAAGCGUGCGCAGGCGGUUUUGUAAGUCUGAUGUGAAAUCCCCGGGCUCAACCUGGGAAUUGCAUUGGAGACUGCAAGGCUAGAAUCUGGCAGAGGGGGGUAGAAUUCCACGUGUAGCAGUGAAAUGCGUAGAUAUGUGGAGGAACACCGAUGGCGAAGGCAGCCCCCUGGGUCAAGAUUGACGCUCAUGCACGAAAGCGUGGGGAGCAAACAGGAUUAGAAACCCGAGUAGUCCCAUG
rnacentral:rRNA from 1 species